rnacentral:rRNA from 1 species
CCUACGGGAGGCAGCAGGGAGGAAUAUUGCGCAAUGGAGGAAACUCUGACGCAGCCAUGCCGCGUGCAGGAAGACUGCCCUAUGGGUUGUAAACUGCUUUUAUAUAGGAAGAACUACAGCUACGUGUAGCUGUUUGACGGUACUAUACGAAUAAGGACCGGCUAACUCCGUGCCAGCAGCCGCGGUAAUACGGAGGGUCCAAGCGUUAUCCGGAUUUAUUGGGUUUAAAGGGUCCGUAGGCGGGUUAUUAAGUCAGUGGUGAAAUCCUACAGCUCAACUGUAGAACUGCCAUUGAAACUGUUAACCUUGAGUAUAAUUGAAGUGGGCGGAAUGUGUCAUGUAGCGGUGAAAUGCUUAGAUAUGACACAGAACACCGAUUGCGAAGGCAGCUCACUAAGUUAUAACUGACGCUGAGGGACGAAAGCGUGGGUAGCGAACAGGAUUAGAUACCCUGGUAGUCCACGCCGUAAACGAUGUACACUCGUUGCUGGCGAUACACAGUCAGUGACCAAGCGAAAGUGUUAAGUGUACCACCUGGGGAGUACGCUCGCAAGAGUGAAACUCAAAGGAAUGACGG